rnacentral:sRNA from 1 species
ACUGGGUAUAGUGGCAUGUAUCUGUUGUCCCAGCUACUUGAGAGGCUGAAGUGGGAGGAUCACUUGAGCCAGGAAUUUGAGACCUGAGCAAUAUAGUGAGACCCUAUUUAGA